AGCCUUGCCGCGUGAGUGAAGAAGGCCUUCGGGUUGUAAAGCUCUUUCGGUCGGGAAGAAAUAGUUGCGGCUAAUAUCUGCAACAAAUGACGGUACCGACAUAAGAAGCACCGGCUAACUACGUGCCAGCAGCCGCGGUAAUACGUAGGGUGCAAGCGUUAAUCGGAAUUAUUGGGCGUAAAGGGUGCGCAGGUCGUUAUAUAAGUCAGAUGUGAAAUCCCUGGGCUUAACCUAGGAAUUGCGUUUGAAACUAUAUAACUAGAGUGUGACAGAGGGGAGUGGAAUUCCAUGUGUAGCAGUGAAAUGCGUAGAGAUGUGGAAGAACACCGAUGGCGAAGGCAGCUCCCUGGGUUAACACUGACGCUCAUGCACGAAAGCGUGGGGAGCAAACAGGAUUAGAUACCCUGGUAGUCCACGCCCUAAACGAUGUCAACUAGUUGUCGGAUCUAUAUAAAGAUUAGGUAACGUAGCUAACGCGUGAAGUUGACCGCCUGGGAAGUACGGUCGCAAGAUUA
rnacentral:rRNA from 1 species